GCAACUUCUACCCAUUGGUUGGUCAAAAAAUAAUCCAUUUUGAGCCGACUAAGAUUCAAAGUUGCUAGAGAAAUACUUAACUUACCAUGCGUUAAGGCUCUGCCCUUGGGCAUUGAAUAGCUAGCGCAGAAGUA
rnacentral:snoRNA from 1 species